GACGAACGCUGGCGGCGUGCUUAACACAUGCAAGUCGAACGGUAAGGCCCUUCGGGGUACACGAGUGGCGAACGGGUGAGUAACACGUGGGUGAUCUGCCCUGCACUUCGGGAUAAGCCUGGGAAACUGGGUCUAAUACCGGAUAGGACUCCGGACUGCAUGGUCUGGGGUGGAAAGCUUUUGCGGUGUGGGAUGGGCCCGCGGCCUAUCAGCUUGUUGGUGGGGUGAUGGCCUACCAAGGCGACGACGGGUAGCCGGCCUGAGAGGGUGACCGGCCACACUGGGACUGAGAUACGGCCCAGACUGCGACGGGAGGCAGCAGUGGGGAAUAUUGCACAAUGGGCGCAAGCCUGAUGCAGCGACGCCGCGUGAGGGAUGACGGCCUUCGGGUUGUAAACCUCUUUCAGCAUCGACGAAGCGAAAGUGACGGUAGGUGCAGAAGAAGGACCGGCCAACUACGUGCCAGCCGCCGCAGUAA
rnacentral:rRNA from 1 species